rnacentral:rRNA from 1 species
GACGAACGCUGGCGGCGUGCUUAACACAUGCAAGUCGAACGGAAAGGCCCUGCUUUUGUGGGGUGCUCGAGUGGCGAACGGGUGAGUAACACGUGAGUAACCUGCCCUUGACUUUGGGAUAACUUCAGGAAACUGGGGCUAAUACCGGAUAGGAGCUCCUGCUGCAUGGUGGGGGUUGGAAAGUUUCGGCGGUUGGGGAUGGACUCGCGGCUUAUCAGCUUGUUGGUGGGGUAGUGGCUUACCAAGGCUUUGACGGGUAGCCGGCCUGAGAGGGUGACCGGCCACAUUGGGACUGAGAUACGGCCCAGACUCCAACGGGAGGCAGCAGUGGGGAAUAUUGCACAAUGGGAGGAAGCCUGAUGCAGCAACGCCGCGUGCGGGAUGACGGCCUUCGGGUUGUAAUCCGCUUUCGCCUGUGACGAAGCGUGAGUGACGGUAAUGGGUAAAGAAGCACCGGCUAACUACGUG